rnacentral:rRNA from 1 species
UACGUAGGGGGCAAGCGUUGUCCGGAAUCAUUGGGCGUAAAGCGCGUGUAGGCGGUUCGAUAAGUCUGCUGUGAAAGUCCAGGGCUCAACCCUGGGAUGCCGGUGGAUACUGUCGAGCUAGAGUACGGAAGAGGCGAGUGGAAUUCCCGGUGUAGCGGUGAAAUGCGCAGAUAUCGGGAGGAACACCAAUUGCGAAGGCAGCUCGCUGGGACGUCACUGACGCUAAGACGCGAAAAGCGUGGGGAGCAAACAGG